rnacentral:rRNA from 1 species
UUCGCCCUUAGAGUUUGAUCCUGGCUCAGGACGAACGCUGUCGGCGCGCCUAACACAUGCAAGUCGAACGAGCGAGAGAGAGCUUGCUUUCUCAAGCGAGUGGCGAACGGGUGAGUAACGCGUGAGGAACCUGCCUCAAAGAGGGGGACAACAGUUGGAAACGACUGCUAAUACCGCAUAAGCCCACAGGUCGGCAUCGACCAGAGGGAAAAGGAGCAAUCCGCUUUGAGAUGGCCUCGCGUCCGAUUAGCUAGUUGGUGAGGUAAUGGCCCACCAAGGCAACGAUCGGUAGCCGGACUGAGAGGUUGAACGGCCACAUUGGGACUGAGACACGGCCCAGACUCCUACGGGAGGCAGCAGUGGGGAAUAUUGCACAAUGGGGGAAACCUUGAUGCAGCGACGCCGCGUGGAGGAAGAAGGUCUUCGGAUUGUAAACUCCUGUUGUUGAGGAAGAUAAUGACGGUACUCAACAAGGAAGUGACGGCUAACUACGUGCCAGCAGCCGCGGUAAAACGUAGGUCACAAGCGUUGUCCGGAAUUACUGGGUGUAAAGGGAGCGCAGGCGGGAAGACAAGUUGGAAGUGAAAUCUAUGGGCUCAACCCAUAAACUGCUUUCAAAACUGUUUUUCUUGAGUAGUGCAGAGGUAGGCGGAAUUCCCGGUGUAGCGGUGGAAUGCGUAGAUAUCGGGAGGAACACCAGUGGCGAAGGCGGCCUACUGGGCACCAACUGACGCUGAGGCUCGAAAGUGUGGGUAGCAAACAGGAUUAGAUACCCUGGUAGUCCACACCGUAAACGAUGAUUACUAGGUGUUGGAGGAUUGACCCCUUCAGUGCCGCAGUUAACACAAUAAGUAAUCCACCUGGGGAGUACGACCGCAAGGUUGAAACUCAAAGGAAUUGACGGGGGCCCGCACAAGCAGUGGAGUAUGUGGAUUAAUUCGAAGCAACGCGAAGAACCUUACCAGGUCUUGACAUCGUAUGCAUAGCUCAGAGAUGAGUGAAAUCUCUUCGGAGACAUAUAGACAGGUGGUGCAUGGUUGUCGUCAGCUCGUGUCGUGAGAUGUUGGGUUAAGUCCCGCAACGAGCGCAACCCUUACUGUUAGUUGCUACGCAAGAGCACUCUAGCAGGACUGCCGUUGACAAAACGGAGGAAGGUGGGGAUGACGUCAAAUCAUCAUGCCCCUUAUGACCUGGGCCUCACACGUACUACAAUGGCUGUUAACAGAGGGAUGCAAAGCCGCGAGGUGGAGCGAACCCCUAAAAGCAGUCUUAGUUCGGAUUGUAGGCUGCAACCCGCCUACAUGAAGUCGGAAUUGCUAGUAAUCGCAGAUCAGCAUGCUGCGGUGAAUACGUUCCCGGGCCUUGCACACACCGCCCGUCA